CCGACUGGGAUAUUUAAAAAACAUACGUGAAAAUUACUUUCCGUAAAAGCAGUAUCAGCCAUAGUGUCACUUCGUUUCCACUUUGCGUAUUUGCAGAAUUGUGUGUUGGCAAAAAACGAAAAAAAUGUCAAAACCAAGUUUUGAUAUCUUACGUGAUCUACAAAAUGAUGAGAUAUCGAAAAAGUUUUGCGAUUAUCUAAAGGGAAAACUUGAAGAACUUAUUGAGAUCAUUAAGCAAUUUGAGAACUUUCGUUACAUAGCAUCUGAUUUUAACGAAUUAAAAACCAAUAACCCAACCAUAGAAGAUAUAAAGAAGAACAAGAAAAGGGAAUUGCAAAAUAUAGUUGAGAACGCGGACUUUGCGCACACAUAUAAAAACUUUCAUGAUGGUCAUUAAAACAAUAAAUUUUUAAUUUUCUCUGUAAGAUAUGAAGUAAAAAUAAAAAUAAAAAAUAAAAAGCCUAAUACCUA